UCCCGUUUAGCUCAGUUGGUAGAGCGCGUCACUAGUAAUGCGAGGUCAGUCGUUCGAGUCGGCUAAUAAUGGGAA
rnacentral:tRNA from 1 species